rnacentral:rRNA from 1 species
AGCGAACGCUGGCGGCAGGCUUAACACAUGCCAGUCGAGCGGGCACUUUCGGGUGUCAGCGGCGGACGGGUGAGUAACGCGUGGGAACGUGCCCUCUGGUUCGGAAUAACUCAGGGAAACUUGAGCUAAUACCGGAUACGCCCUUUUGGGGAAAGGCUUGCUGCCGGAGGAUCGGCCCGCGUCUGAUUAGCUAGUUGGUGAGGUAACGGCUCACCAAGGCGACGAUCAGUAGCUGGUCUGAGAGGAUGAUCAGCCACACUGGGACUGAGACACGGCCCAGACUCCUACGGGAGGCAGCAGUGGGGAAUAUUGGACAAUGGGCGCAAGCCUGAUCCAGCCAUGCCGCGUGAGUGAUCAAGGCCUUAGGGUUGUAGAGCUCUUUUAUCCGGGACGAUAAUGACGGUACCGGAGGAAUAAGCCCCGGCUAACUUCGUG